CUUGUAUUGGAUCCCAUUGAAGUCUUAUUAUCUUGUACAAUUUGUCUCAACUGUACUUCUGAUUCCUAUUUUCUGCUCUUUAAACCUACAUGGGAAAAUAAACUUAACCUGACAUAGAGUCUGCUUUAAUUCUAUGUCCAGUGUCUCAUCUCUGAUCAGAGAUAGAUCAAUAUGAAACACCUUUAUUUGUCCUCUUUGCUGGCAGGAACUCAGCUUAACUUCAUUCCUUUCUUGAGCUGCACAAAUCUUAUUUCUUGAUGCCCUCCACUCCAUUUGACUACUUAUGGAGACUAAUACACACUCCUGAGUUCCCUCCCUUGAUCACCCUCUUCUCUUCAAACCACCAUAAUCGGAUUUUGUGUUUUUUAGGUUUAUAGAAUAAGGAAAAACAAACAAACAAACACACCUUGAUCACUAUAGGGGACAAACAAACUUAAACCAGAAAGAUACUUGUUAUUUUAACUUUUAAAUGCAGGGAAAUAUUCAGGCAUAUUUAAAGAUGGAUGCAUCUAGGGCCUUGCAGUAGUCAGUUUCCAAGGUAACGCCCAGUGAUCCUUGGCUCUUAGAAUUCACACUUCUGUGUAGUCCCCUCCCACACUGUACCAGGGUUGGCAUGUGUGACCAACAGUGUAUAGCAGAAGUGAUGUUAUUUUCAGAAUUAUGUUAUCAGAAGUCUGUGGUUUUGUCUUAGGCACUCUCUUGCUCACUGGGUCUCUGUCAUUUGUCCAAAGGAAAGCAGAUACCAUGUCAUGGAAAUGCCAUAGGAAAAAAUGUGAGGUCUCCAGUCAACCGACCACAUGGAAUUGAAACCUG
rnacentral:lncRNA from 1 species